rnacentral:rRNA from 1 species
GCCCGCUCAGAAACUACGAAAGGAAGUUGACGGGGCCCGGCACAAGCGGAGGAGCAUGUGGUUUAAUUCGAUGAUACGCGAGGAACCUUACCUGGGCUCGAACGUAAGAUGACUGUAGGUGAAAGCUUACAUCUCUUCGGAGCAUUUUACGAGGUGCUGCAUGGUUGUCGUCAGCUCGUGCCGUGAGGUGUCGGGUUAAGUCCCAUAACGAGCGCAACCCCUACCUUUAGUUGCCAUCAGGUUAAGCUGGGGACUCUAAAGGAACUGCCUACGCAAGUAGUGAGGAAGGCGGGGAUGACGUCAAAUCAGCACGGCCCUUACGUCCAGGGCUACACACGUGCUACAAUGGCCGAUACAGAGGGCAGCUACCUGGUGACAGGAUGCAAAUCUCCAAAGUCGGUCUCAGUUCGGAUCGGAGUCUGCAACCCGACUCCGUGAAGUUGGAUUCGCUAGUAAUCGCGCAUCAGCCAUGGCGCGGUGAAUACGUUCCCGGGCCUU